rnacentral:tRNA from 1 species
CCCCCGGUAGCUCAGCGGUUAGAGCGGCCGGCUGUAGACCGGCAGGCCCCGGGUUCGAAGGUCCCGGCCGGGGGACCA